UUGUUAAAUAGCGGUCACUGGGGACUGAGGCCAUCUGUCCGGCAGCUCUUUGGCCCUCGGUUAUUCGGCACAAGUCUCAGUUCUGACAAGUGGCCAGAAACAUGAGGUCCCUGAUGUCUCUCAGUCUGCUGCUGGCUGUCUUCUCCCAUGUCCAGGCCGAUGUGGUGCUGACACAGCCGUCGUCUCUAACCGGGAAGCCUGGCCAGGCCCUGCUACUGACCUGUAAAACCAGCGGCUUUGAUCUCAGUGGCUACUACAUGAGUUGGGUCCGGCAGGUUCCUGGGAAGGGGCUGGAAUGGCUCCUCAUGUAUCACAGCUCAGCCUACCAGUACUAUGCGCCUGGUAUUCAAAACCGUGUCACUGUCAUCAAAGAGAAUUCCAAUAACAUCUUCGAUUUGAUCAUCAAAAGCCCGACAGUGGAGGACACCGCCAUCUAUUACUGUGCAAGAAACUCACAGCACAGUGACUACCUUGACUACUGGGGACGAGGCACCAUCGUGACUGUGACUAACGCUGUCCCGUCUCCUCCCAGUGUUUACUUCCUGUUGCCAACCUGUGGACAAUCCCCUUCCAGCGGCUCAGUGACUCUCGGGUGUCUGGCCACCGAAUACAACUCCGAACCGGCCACUCUCACCUGGACGUCAGAUAAAGGCCUCAUCACUGACCAAGUCAAGACUUAUCCCUCAGUGUUCAACAAGAACGGUCUCUACACUCUGAGCAGCGAGUUAACAAUCGCUGUAUCGCAGCUGGAAAAUGACAACAUCCAUUGUAAGGUUGAGCAGAAAAGCAACAACUGGCCACCCGUGGCUAUCCCCGUGCCAGAUCAUGUAUUCCAGAAACCGUUGCCCCCAAUUGUUAUCCUCACACAGUCUUCACCUGAAGACAUCACAAUGCACAAACCGGCCACUGCUGUCUGUUCAAUAUUCGGUUUCCAUCCGGACAAACUCAGUGUUAAAUGGCUGAAAGACUGGCAGCCCAUAACCUCAGGUGCUGUGACCUCUCCGUCGGUUAAAGAAGACAACGGGACAUUCAGCACCAGCAGCCGUCUGACUGUCCCCGCCAUAGAGUGGGGGAGUGGCGCGGUUUACACCUGCCAGGUGUCCCAUGGACCCACCCAGACCAUCAUUGUCAAGAACAUCACCAAAUCCUCAGAAUGCAUGGAUCCCUGUGGAGAUGUUAAGGUCUAUUUCCUGCCACCGUCACAGGAACAGGUUUUGAUGGAAUGCUAUGUAACGCUGACAUGUGUAGUGGCUAACGCACCACUUCACGUCAAUGUGACUUGGACGCAAGGAAAGACACAUUUACAGUCUGGAUAUGGGAAACCAUCUGCCAAUGAUCCUCAGGAAGUCAUCAGUAAAUUAAACAUUUCUACACAAGACUGGAAUGAUGGGAAAGAAUUCUUCUGCAUUGCUAGCCAUGACGAUAUGCCGACUCCCAUCAGAGAGAAGACAUUUAAGAGGACAGUUGAGUACACAAAACAACCUUCAGUGUAUCUCCUCCUCCCCUCGGCAGAAGAAUUGUCUGCUCAGCUGUCUGUCACCCUCACCUGCCUGGUCAAGGACUUCACUCCCAAAGAGAUCUUUGUGCAGUGGACUGUGAAUGACCAGGUGAUUGAUGCCACAAACUACAAGAGCACUGAGGUGAUGGCAGACAGUGCACAUCACCACUACUCCAUGUACAGCAUGUUAUCCAUCUCAGCCGGAGAGUGGGACAGAGGAAGCUCCUACUCCUGUGUGGUCGGACAUGAGGCUUUCCCACUGAAGACCCUGACCAGAACCGUUAACAAAUCCAGCGGUAAACCGAGUUUUGUAAACAUUUCUCUGGUCCUGAUGGACACCGUGAAUGCGUGUCAAUGAGCGUCGCUCAAUACCAUUUUGCUUAGCCUUUUGUGCACCCGCCUCCCGACCAUUGCAUUGUCAGUUGGGAGUUCCGAAAAAUUAACUCAAAUAAAGAUCAUUGUUGUA